GGAAGAACUGAAGAAUAAUCCCGAAAAACGGCACUUUACAUUUGGAAGGAACUUGGACUUCGUGAAUACUUGACAGCCUUUGCCAAACUUCCAGAAGGCGGGUCAUAUUUUCUCGGAGUUGGAGAAAAUGAAAUAUUAUAUCAGCGAUACAAAACCAAGAAAAUCGUGCUUGAAGAAGGCAUUCCCAAGGUUUUGUGGAUACACGAGUCAUUUUCACUUGAAAUAUUUCUUUAGGGAAUCGACACUGUUUUGCAGCUAUAGUGGAAGUUUAAAAAUACUGAAGACUCCGACUUUGACAUCUUUUGGCACUGGAACGAGUUCGGUAAACUGAUCUUGGAAUGUUCCAUAACUCCAAUGAAUGGUAUAUUAUUCUAUGCCCAGACCGGGCCUGUAUCAUACAAAGUACACAAUGGCCAACUCAGACAAAUCGAGCCUGAAGAGUGGUAUAAGGCAAUGACAAGAAAACGCAAGACUGAUGGUCCAGCAAAACACCACGAUGGGAAACGAACAGAGCCUAAGAAAAACCUGGCCAGAAGGACAGCAGAAGUUACAAAGAAGUGAUUAAUCGAGCUUCAGAACUCAGUGAAGAAAAUGACGAUGGGUCGACAGCAUCAUGUUUUGCCUUCGUUGAAGAAUCUUUACGAACUGCUCUUGAAACUUUCUCCUGACGCUAUUCUUCCACUUGAAAUUAUUUGUGAAGCUGUCAUUUUAAUUCCCCACAGGUUCGGAUUUGUGUUAACCGUCCAUGAUGGAAGUAGACGUUCUGCGGACAUUCUCUCUUACAGCUGCCAACUUGGGCGAGACCUAUCAGCUGCUGUUCGACUUUACACAAAAAGACAAUUUCAUUUUUCUUACGGAAGUUGUAUCAGUCUUUGAUGUCUUCUCGAGGAAGACCUUCACGGAAAAAAUAACAGAACUCAAGAAACGUAUGCAUAUUUAUUAUGCAUUCCUGACAUGUUUGGAAUAAAGAAGACAAAAUUUUGAGAAUCUUAUCAGCACCAUAGGAGUAUGUUCAUUUCAAGGAGAGAAGGACGACCAUCAGGAGACGGAGUACAGAAACUUAUCACCACAUUAACACAAUGCAACGAUCUUUCCAACACAGUGAGCAAAACAUUGAUGGAAAUUGCAGCAGAUGUAGAUGAACUUGAACAAAACAACCGACUCACGAAAGUAAUUUGUGCAGGCACGGGACUCAUUGGAACUGCUCUGUCAAUAUCAGGUUUGUUGCUUGGCCCCGUUGGGAUGCUCCUUGCACUGGUGCUGCUGCUGUCGGUGUUGGAGGGGUGUAGGUGAAACAAAGGACAAAAUCAAAGAAGCCCAAAUGGUUAUACUUGAAAUUCGAGGAUGUUUGCAAAGCCUUCGACUCGAAAUGAACGCCCAAAGAGAAGGUUGUCCUGUCAUCAGUGUCGACUAUAGCAAAUCGCUUACACUGCUGCUGGCUGUUUUCGAUGUUAUGGACGACAUCGUUGCAAAUGGACUUAAGAUAUCAAAGUUUGUAGGAGUGUUCCUGUCUGCCCUUCUGUUUACCUUUAGACGUGUACAAGUUGAUUUCAAAUGUUGUGGGGUUAAUUGAAAGAAGACCAUCUGCUGUUGCUGCGCAACUCCGUUCGAAGGCUAAUGAAAUGAAAGAUCUUUCGAAGGUUCUUGAUAAGAAAAUACCAGAUCUUGUGGCCAUCCUAGAUUCGGAGAGAUCUUGACUGUUGAGAGUAACUUUGAAUCCUCCAGGUACCACUGCACACAACAUGCCGGACCUGAGUGGAUAACAGUGAGUAAAAAGUCAGUCACAGAGUGAUGUAUGACUGACUGUCUGUAUUUAUGCCUACCCCAACUGCGAAAACUUUGCUAUGGCGAACUCUAAUGAAGCUAUUUCAUCAGAAUUACAUACAAUAAUUUGGUUGACAGAGGCAUUGAUGAUACGUGUGUCGUCACUCAAGUGAGACUGCAUUGAAACACUGUCUUCAUCAGAAGUAUUUUCAUAUCUUCCCCAACCAUGGCAACUUCAUUAGAACAGAUAACAAACACAUUCAGGUCGGACCAUGAUGCUUUAUAACUGAACCAGAGCCCCGGAUGUCUGGAGCAUACGUACUUCUGCCCAUGUGGAAGGGAGCAGUCAUUAUACAUAUUGUAACACCUUAUCUACGUGUUUUGUUUACAUGCUUGCCCAUGAACAUUUUUGGUUUCAUUUCCUUUACAUUAUGCAGACGAGGAACUGUGAGUGUCUCUAAAAGGGCGAAUCCCAAUAUGGGUACACUGUGUGAAGCCCAUUUCUGAUGUCCCCCGCCGUGAUGUUGCUGGAAUAUUGCUAAAAGCGACGUAAAAACCAAACUCAGUCAGUCAGUCUCAAAGGAGAUCAACACGUUUUGACGCGA